rnacentral:rRNA from 1 species
CAGUCGAACGAAGCACUUUAUUUGAUUUCCUUCGGGACUGAUUAUUUUGUGACUGUGUGGCGGACGGGUGAGUAACGCGUGGGUAACCUGCCUUGUACAGAGGGAUAACAGUUGGAAACGGCUGCUAAUACCGCAUAAGCGCACAGCAUCGCAUGAUGCAGUGUGAAAAACUCCGGUGGUAUAAGAUGGACCCGCGUUGGAUUAGCUAGUUGGUGAGGUAACGGCCCACCAAGGCGACGAUCCAUAGCCGACCUGAGAGGGUGACCGGCCACAUUGGGACUGAGACACGGCCCAAACUCCUACGGGAGGCAGCAGUGGGGAAUAUUGCACAAUGGGCGAAAGCCUGAUGCAGCGACGCCGCGUGAGCGAAGAAGUAUUUCGGUAUGUAAAGCUCUAUCAGCAGGGAAGAUAAUGACGGUACCUGACUAAGAAGCACCGGCUAAAUACGUGCCAGCAGCCGCGGUAAUACGUAUGGUGCAAGCGUUAUCCGGAUUUACUGGGUGUAAAGGGAGCGCAGGCGGUGCGGCAAGUCUGAUGUGAAAGCCCGGGGCUCAACCCCGGUACUGCAUUGGAAACUGUCGUACUAGAGUGUCGGAGGGGUAAGCGGAAUUCCUAGUGUAGCGGUGAAAUGCGUAGAUAUUAGGAGGAACACCAGUGGCGAAGGCGGCUUACUGGACGAUAACUGACGCUGAGGCUCGAAAGCGUGGGGAGCAAACAG